GCCUUGAAAGCCCAAUAGUAAGAGCGCCGGGUCUUGUAAACCAGGAGAGAGGGUUAAAUCCCCUCUCAAGGCU
rnacentral:tRNA from 1 species